rnacentral:rRNA from 1 species
GACGAACGCUGGCGGCGUGCUUAACACAUGCAAGUCGAACGGAAAGGCCCUGCUUUUGUGGGGUGCUCGAGUGGCGAACGGGUGAGUAACACGUGAGUAACCUGCCCUUGACUUUGGGAUAACUUCAGGAAACUGGGGCUAAUACCGGAUAGGAGCUCCUGCUGCAUGGUGGGGGUUGGAAAGUUUCGGCGGUUGGGGAUGGACUCGCGGCUUAUCAGCUUGUUGGUGGGGUAGUGGCUUACCAAGGCUUUGACGGGUAGCCGGCCUGAGAGGGUGACCGGCCACAUUGGGACUGAGAUACGGCCCAGACUCCUACGGGAGGCAGCGGUGGGGAAUAUUACACAAUGGGCGGAAGCCUGAUGCAGCGACGCCGCGUGCGGGAUGACGGCCUUCGGGUUGUAAACCGCUUUCGCCUGUGACGAAGCGUGAGUGACGGUAAUGGGUAAAGAAGCACCGGCUAACUACGUG